rnacentral:rRNA from 1 species
GAGCACGUAGGUGGGUUUGUAAGUCAGAUGUGAAAGCCUUCUGUUCAAAGGAAGAACGGCAUCUGAAACUGCAAAUCUUGAGUGUAGGAGGGGAGAGUGGAACUUCUGGUGGAGCGGUGAAAUGCGUAGAUAUCAGAAGGAACGUCGGCGGCGAAAGCGACUCUCUGGCCUAUUACUGACACUGAGUGUGCGAAAGUUAGGGGAGCAAACGGGAUUAGAUACCCCGGUAGUCCUAACUGUAAACGAUGGGCACUAAGUAGAGGGGUUU